CUAAAUCGAGUGGCGAACGGGUGAGUAACGCGUAUGCAACCUGCCCGAUACCGGGGUAUAGCCCAUGGAAACGUGGAUUAACACCCCAUAGUACUUUUAUCCUGCCUGGGAUGUGAGUUAAAUGUUCAAGGUAUCGGAUGGGCAUGCGUCCUAUUAGUUAGUUGGCGGGGUAACAGCCCACCAAGACGAUGAUAGGUAGGGGUUCUGAGAGGAAGGUCCCCCACAUUGGAACUGAGACACGGUCCAA
rnacentral:rRNA from 1 species